AUACUUACCUGGCAGGGGAGAUACCGUGAUCAGGAAGGUGGUUUCCCAGGGUGAGGCUCGUCCAUUGCACUGCGGGUGUGCUGACCCCUGCGAUUUCCCCAAAUGCGGGAAACUCGACUGCAUAAUUUGUGGUAGUGGGGGACUGCGUUCGCGCUCUCCCCUG
rnacentral:snRNA from 1 species